rnacentral:rRNA from 1 species
GACGAACGCUGGCGGCGUGCUUAACACAUGCAAGUCGAACGGAAAGGCCCUGCUUUUGUGGGGUGCUCGAGUGGCGAACGGGUGAGUAACACGUGAGUAACCUGCCCUUGACUUUGGGAUAACUUCAGGAAACUGGGGCUAAUACCGGAUAGGAGCUCCUGCUGCAUGGUGGGGGUUGGAAAGUUUCGGCGGUUGGGGAUGGACUCGCGGCUUAUCAGCUUGCUGGUGGGGUAGUGGCUUACCAAGGCUUUGACGGGUAGCCGGCCUGAGAGGGUGGCCGGCCACAUUGGGACUGAGAUACGGCCCAGACUCCUACGGGAGGCAGCAGUGGGGAAUAUUGCACAAUGGGCGGAAGCCUGAUGCAGCAACGCCGCGUGCGGGAUGACGGCCUUCGGGUUGUAAACCGCUUUCGCCUGUGACGAAGCGUGAGUGACGGUAAUGGGUAAAGAAGCACCGGCUAACUACGUG